UGGGGUCCUAGUAGAGUCGGUUC
rnacentral:miRNA from 1 species